rnacentral:rRNA from 1 species
CCUACGGGAGGCAGCAGUCGGGAAUUUUGGGCAAUGGGCGAAAGCCUGACCCAGCAACGCCGCGUGAAGGAUGAAGUAUUUCGGUAUGUAAACUUCGAAAGAAUGGGAAGAAUCAAUGACGGUACCAUUUAUAAGGUCCGGCUAACUACGUGCCGGCAGCCGCGGUAAUACGUAGGGACCAAGCGUUGUUCGGAUUUACUGAGCGUAAAGGGCGCGUAGGCGGCGCAACAAGUCACUUGUGAAAUCUCUGGGCUUAACUCAGAACGGCCAAGUGAAACUGUUGUGCUAGAGUGCAGAAGGGGCAAUCGGAAUUCUCGGUGUAGCGGUGAAAUGCGUAGAUAUCGAGAGGAACACCAGAGGUGAAGACGGGUUGCUGGGCUGACACUGACGCUGAGGCGCGAAAGCCAGGGGAGCAAACGGGAUUAGAUACCCCGGUAGUCCUGGCCCUAAACGAUGAAUACUUGGUGUCUGGAGUUAUUAGUGCUCCGGGUGCCGUCGCUAACGUUUUUAGUAUUCCGCCUGGGGAGUACGCUCGCAAGAGUGAAACUCAAAGGAAUUGACGG